rnacentral:rRNA from 1 species
UACGUAGGGGGCAAGCGUUGUCCGGAAUCAUUGGGCGUAAAGCGCGCGUAGGCGGCCCUGUAAGUCCGUUGUGAAAGUCAAAGGCUCAACCUUUGAAAGCCGAUGGAUACUGCAGGGCUAGAGUCCGGAAGAGGCGAGUGGAAUUCCUGGUGUAGCGGUGGGAUGCGCAGAUAUCAGGAGGAACACCAAUAGCGAAGGCAGCUCGCUGGGACGGUACUGACGCUAAGGCGCGAAAGCGUGGGGAGCGAACAGG